rnacentral:antisense_RNA from 1 species
CUUCACGGACCCGAGCCACAGCGGGUCGCCCGCGCGCUCCUUGCCGUACGUGGCGAGGAGCGCGCCGGCCUC